UAUAUACCGUCCGUGCAUUGGCUGACGCGGAGGUAUGCUACCGACUCGGCUGCGUGGACGCGGGCACGAAGAAAGGAGCGCCGACUGACCAACGAUACUUUGACUGCGCAUGUGUGCCACUCAAGUGCAACAGUUCACGAGGCAUCCCAGGCCCCGAAAGAAGUUGGAAGAAGAUGCAAGCGCAGCAUGCCAAUGUUGUUGAAUAUGCCAGCACGAAGUUUCCAGGCGCAAGUGUUUCUUAUAUAAAAGAAAGCCUAUUCUCUCCCCUCACAAGGGAAAUAAAAUCACUAUAUAAAAAUGCCUUUUCAUGUGCCUUUUUUUGUUUUCCUGUUGGCUGCAGUUAAUAUUCA